GGCCAGACUCCUACGGGAGGCAGCAGUGAGGAAUAUUGGUCAAUGGCCGGAAGGCUGAACCAGCCAAGUCGCGUGAGGGAAUAAGGCCCUAUGGGUCGUAAACCUCUUUUGUCAGGGAGCAAAGGCGUCCACGAGUGGACGAAAGGAGAGUACCUGAAGAAAAAGCAUCGGCUAACUCCGUGCCAGCAGCCGCGGUAAUACGGAGGAUGCGAGCGUUAUCCGGAUUUAUUGGGUUUAAAGGGUGCGUAGGCGGGAUGCCAAGUCAGCGGUCAAAUACGGGGGCUCAACCGGCGUCCGCCGUUGAAACUGGCGUUCUUGAGUGGGCGAGAAGUACGCGGAAUGCGUGGUGUAGCGGUGAAAUGCAUAGAUAUCACGCAGAACCCCGAUUGCGAAGGCAGCGUACCGGCGCCCAACUGACGCUGAAGCACGAAAGCGUGGGUAUCGAACAGGAUUAGAUACCCUGGUAUC
rnacentral:rRNA from 1 species